GGGGAGGUAGUGACGAAAAAUAACGAUACGGGACUCAUCCGAGGCCCCGUAAUCGGAAUGAGUACACUCUAAACCCUUUAACGAGUAUCCAUUGGAGGGCAAGUCUGGUGCCAGCAGCCGCGGUAAUUCCAGCUCCAAUAGCGUAUAUUAAAGUUGUUGCGGUUAAAAAGCUCGUAGUUGGACUUGUGUCCCACGCUGUCGGUUCACCGUUNGUCGGUGUUUAACUGGCAUGCCCGUGCGGACGUCCUGCCGGUGGAUGCGGUCGGCCGUGGGCCUUUGGUCUGCGUGUCGGCGGUCCGAUGCAAUCCUACCGCGGUGCUCUUCACCGAGUGUCGAGGUGGGCCGGCACGUUUACUUUGAACAAAUUAGAGUGCUCAAAGCAGGCAGUGGUUCGCCUGAAUAUUGUGUGCAUGGAAUAAUGGAAUAGGACCUCGGUUCUAUUUUGUUGGUUUUCGGAACCUGAGGUAAUGAUUAAUAGGGACAGACGGGGGCAUUCGUAUUGCGACGUUAGAGGUGAAAUUCUUGGAUCGUCGCAAGACGAACCUAAGCGAAAGCAUUUGCCAUGAGUGUUUUCAUUAAUCAAGAACGAAAGUUAGAGGUUCGAAGGCGAUCAGAUACCGCCCUAGUUCUAACCAUAAACGAUGCCAGCUAGCGAUCCGCCGAAGUUCCUCCGAUGACUCGGCGGGCAGCUUCCGGGAAACCAAAGCUUUUGGGUUCCGGGGGAAGUAUGGUUGCAAAGCUGAAACUUAAAGGAAUUGACGGAAGGGCACCACCAGGAGUGGAGCCUGCGGCUUAAUUUGACUCAACAC
rnacentral:rRNA from 1 species